GUCUAGUCGGGGGUGACGAGAGUGAGAGUGUAAAGGAGAGCUCCUGUUCCCUGGCACUGCCUGAAGGGACCCCAGUCGACAGCCAUAAGCAACCUGUGAAGGGUGCUGCGGAGACUCCUUGCUCUACUGCCCAUGAAGAAAGUCCAGUCGGUGGUGACAGAG
rnacentral:lncRNA from 1 species